rnacentral:lncRNA from 1 species
AUAACGCAUGAAGGAUGGACAUGACAAUGCAGUAUGACAACAAACAAUGGCUAAGUUAAAGACAAAGAGGGCGCGCCCUCAUGUAAGGGCGUGGCCUUGGCUUACCGUCAUCAUCGUCGUCGUCGUCCUCAGAGUCACUAGACUCAGACCUUUUUCUCUUAACCCCUUUUUGCUUUUCGCCGACGGGGCGUCCAUCUAUGAACCUUUUCCACCCAACUUUGGUCCCCACUUCCUCGGGCAGCAAUUUAAUCUUUAUCAGAUUUGCUUCCGUUACUACGGAGGGGAUGUUUCGCUCUGAGGAUGGAAGUUCGAAUACUUUGUUAACACGGACAGCUUCUGCUUUUGUGAGGGAAAUCUUCUCGUGGUAAACUAGAAAAGUAAAGAUGGGUGUCAGGAAACCUAAGUGCAAAGACGGAAGAGGGCGCGCCCUCAGUAUAAGCAGUAAGGCGCGCCCGCCGGUCAGGGAUGUCAGAGAAGCUUACCUGGGUUAGGGUUGAACAUAGUUGUAAC